rnacentral:rRNA from 1 species
UACGUAGGCAGCAAGCGUUUGUUCGGAGUUACUGGGCGUAAAGGGUGCGUAGGCGGCUUUUUAAGUUUGGUGUGAAAUCUCCCGGCUCAACUGGGAGGGUGCGCCGAAUACUGAGAGGCUAGAGUGUGGGAGAGGAAAGUGGAAUUCCUGGUGUAGCGGUGAAAUGCGUAGAUAUCAGGAGGAACACCGGUGGUGUAAACGGCUUUCUGGACCAUAACUGACGCUGAGGCACGAAAGCGUGGGUAGCAAACAGG